CUUCAGGCUCACUGGGCUGCUAGGCCCCUGGGGUUGGGGCCCCAUGUUCCUCCCAAUGUCCUCCGUCCUCCGGACCCAGGAACUGGCUAGGCAAACUCAUUUGCAGCAAGGGGCCGGCUACACCGAGUCUCCCAGCACUCACAGCCGUCCUGAUGCGGAGUCUCCACUGCCCAGGGCUUUGGCUGUGUCUGUUGAGUUCUGCACCUGGCCCCUGAGGGCAAGGAAGAUGCUGAUCAGGCGGUCACAGACAGGUCCAGCAGGAAGAAUGCCGUGUGGCGGCGUAGCUGCUCCCCUGGCCCAGUGGCCGUGAAAUGUCCUGGACAUCACACUGCUUCCCUUUCGGGCCAGCUGUGAGGGCCCACUCCCUCGCCACCAGAAGCCCUACCUGUGACAGGGACUGGCCCGUGUGUCUAUCCUGUGCCUGGCAUGUCCAACCCAUCCUGUGCUUCUAACCAUCUAGAACUGCCAGCCGUAGCCCAUUAUAAUCAAUCCACUGCCUACUCCAGGCAGUGACUUGA